UACGUAGGGUGCAAGCGUUAAUCGGAAUUACUGGGCGUAAAGCGUGCGCAGGCGGUGAUGUAAGACAGGUGUGAAAUCCCGGGCUUAACCUGGGAACUGCAUUUGUGACUGCAUCGCUGGAGUGCGGCAGAGGGGGAUGGAAUUCCGCGUGUAGCAGUGAAAUGCGUAGAUAUGCGGAGGAACACCGAUGGCGAAGGCAUCCCCUGG
rnacentral:rRNA from 1 species